UACGUAGGGGGCUAGCGUUGUCCGGAUUUAUUGGGCGUAAAGAGCGUGUAGGCGGCCAGGUAGGUCUGCUGUGAAAACUCGAGGCUCAACCUCGAGAUGUCGGCGGAAACCAUCUGGCUAGAGUCCGGAAGAGGAGAAUGGAAUUCCCGGUGUAGCGGUGAAAUGCGCAGAUAUCAGGAGGAACACCCGUGGCGGAAAGCG
rnacentral:rRNA from 1 species